rnacentral:pre_miRNA from 1 species
AGAGGAAUAGCUGGGUCAAAUGGUGGUGCCAUUCCCAGCUUUCCAAGGAAUCUCCAUACUGCUUUCCAAAUUGGCUGCACCAAUUUGAGGACCCACCAGCAGU